GAAUAUUAGUCAAUGCUCGAAAGAGUGAACUAGCUAACUGAAAUCAAUUAAAAAUAAUUGAUAACAUAAGGGAAAAUAAUGAUAAUACCUUAUUAUAAGUGUCGUCCAAAACUGGUGCCAGAAGACUCGGUAAGGCCAGAGACACAAACGUUAAUCGUCUUAAUCAGGCGUAAAGGGUUUGUAGGCGGCUUUAAAAUUAAUUUUAUUUAAUUAAUUUAAAAUAAUAUUAAAAAUAAAAGCUAGAAUCAAAUAGAGGAUAUAUUAAAGAAUGCUUAGAGUAGGUCUGAUAUCCUUAGAUACUAAGUAGAAUAUUAAAGGCGAAAGCUUUUUUCCAAUAAUGAUUGACGCUCAGAAACGAAGGUGAGGAUAGGAAAUAGGAUUAGAUACCCAAAAUACCCCUCUCUGUCAACGAUGAAUGGUAAUUAUUAGUAUAAAUUAUUAAUAAUAAUGUUAACACGAUAACCAUUCCGCCUUGUGAGUACAAUUGCAAAGUUGAAAACAAAAAAAUUAGUCGGUUUCGGAGCAAACGAAGUGAAGCAUGUUAUUUAAUUC
rnacentral:rRNA from 1 species